CAAUGAAGGAAGCAUGGUAAUGAGCACAGAGAUAGAUUUGGGCCUCUAGGCUGCCUGCCCUUUCCGAUGCCUUUAGGUUUCAGCUUUGAUUUGGGGGCAAGCAAAAUG